rnacentral:rRNA from 1 species
AUCUGAACUCAAAUCAGGCAGGAUUACCCGCUGAAUUUAAGCAUAU